UAUUUAAAUUAUUCAAAUACAUAAGAAUGAUAAUAACAAUCUGGUAUUUAUAGAUUCUUCACUGUCAAUGUACAAUGGUCCCAAUACCCAUUUACUGUCACUGAGAAGUUUUAUUCACUACACUGAACUGUGUUGAAUCUUUAAGAACAAGUUUCAUUUUAUAUGAAUUUGAUUCGAUAUAUUUACCAGAAAAACAUAUUUAUUUAU
rnacentral:lncRNA from 1 species